rnacentral:rRNA from 1 species
ACGGAGGGUGCAAGCGUUAAUCGGAAUUACUGGGCGUAAAGCGCACGCAGGCGGUCGGAUGAGUCGGAUGUGAAAGCCCUGGGCUUAACCUGGGAACUGCAUCCAUAACUGCCUGACUAGAGUACGGUAGAGGGUGGUGGAAUUUCCUGUGUAGCGGUGAAAUGCGUAGAUAUAGGAAGGAACACCAGUGGUGAAGGCGACCACCUGGACUGAUACUGACACUGAGGUGCGAAAGCGUGGGGAGCAAACAG